rnacentral:rRNA from 1 species
UACGUAGGGCGCAAGCGUUGUCCGGAAUUAUUGGGCGUAAAGAGCUCGUAGGCGGUUUGUCGCGUCUGGUGUGAAAACUCGAGGCUCAACCUCGAGCUUGCAUCGGGUACGGGCAGACUAGAGUGCGGUAGGGGAGACUGGAAUUCCUGGUGUAGCGGUGAAAUGCGCAGAUAUCAGGAGGAACACCGGUGGCGAAGGCGGGUCUCUGGGCCGAUACUGACGCUGAGGAGCGAAAGCGUGGGGAGCGAACAGG